UUUGCUGCUUUGAAUGAUCGCUGUGCUUCGCUGCUCCUGGAUCAGUUUAAGGUGAAACUCAGAGAAGCUCCUCUGCUGUCUGACGCUCAGAUUUUUCUCAGCUAUGAUGUCACUGAGUUGAUCACGCUGCUGCUCCAGCUGCCAGGAUCAGAUGGUAAUCCCUCUGUGACUCAGUCUCCAGCAGUGAAGUCAGCUGCGUUGGGGGAGACGGUCUCUCUGAGCUGCGAUCUGAGUUGGUGCCUGCAGAAACCUGGACAGCCUCCCAAACUGUUAUUUUAUAAAAUCGCCAGCCAUCAAUCUGAUACUCCCAGUCAUUUCAGCAGCAGUGGAUCAGAGCCUCAGUUCACUCUGACAAUCAGUGGAGUUCAGGCUGAUGAUGCUGGAGAUUAUUACUGUAUGGGAGUGUAUUUAGUAAAUGAUGACUACGUGUUCACACAGUGAUUUAUAGUCGUACAAAAACCUCCUUCA